rnacentral:misc_RNA from 2 species
AACGCACAUUGCGCCCUCUGGUAUUCCGGGGGGCAUGCCUGUUCGAGCGUCAUUAUAACCACUCAAGCUCUCGCUUGGUAUUGGGGUUCGCGGUCUCGCGGCCCCUAAAAUCAGUGGCGGUGCCUGUCGGCUCUACGCGUAGUAAUACUCCUCGCGAUUGAGUCCGGUAGGUUUACUUGCCAGCAACCCCUAAUUUUUACAGGUUGACCUCGGAUCAGGUAGGGAUACCCGCUGAACUUAA